rnacentral:rRNA from 1 species
UACGUAGGGGGCAAGCGUUGUCCGGAAUCAUUGGGCGUAAAGCGCGUGUAGGCGGCUAGGUAAGUCUGCUCUGAAAGCCCGGGGCUCAACCCCGGGAGGCGGGUGGAUACUGUCUAGCUCGAGUCCGGAAGAGGAGUGUGGAAUUCCUGGUGUAGCGGUGAAAUGCGCAGAUAUCAGGAGGAACACCAAUGGCGAAGGCAGCACUCUGGGACGUGACUGACGCUGAGACGCGAAAGCGUGGGGAG